rnacentral:rRNA from 1 species
GACGAACGCUGGCGGCGUGCCUAAUACAUGCGAGUUGAGCGCUGAAGGUUGGUACUUGUACCAACUGGAUGAGCAGCGAACGGGUGAGUAACGCGUGGGGAAUCUGCCUUUGAGCGGGGGACAACAUUUGGAAACGAAUGCUAAUACCGCAUAACAACUUUAAACACAAGUUUUAAGUUUGAAAGAUGCAAUUGCAUCACUCAAAGAUGAUCCCGCGUUGUAUUAGCUAGGUGGUGAGGUAAAGGCUCACCAAGGCGAUGAUACAUAGCCGACCUGAGAGGGUGAUCGGCCACAUUGGGACUGAGACACGGCCCAAACUCCUACGGGAGGCAGCAGUAGGGAAUCUUCGGCAAUGGACGAAAGUCUGACCGAGCAACGCCGCGUGAGUGAAGAAGGUUUUCGGAUCGUAAAACUCUGUUGGUAGAGAAGAACGUUGGUGAGAGUGGAAAGCUCAUCAAGUGACGGUAACUACCCAGAAAGGGACGGCUAACUACGUG